UCCAAGGCGCAGGCUGGUGAGUAAACAGAGACUUACUGGUCAGUGCCCGGUGGUCAGACUGAUGAAUGAAAGGUGGAUGGAUGGGAUGUCUGUUAGGAGGGGCGCGCUUCCCAGAAAAGGGUCUAAGGGACAAUACAGGACAAGAAGGCAUGAGGUGGCGGGGUGUUAGUGUGGGUUCUGCAGUCGAAACAGAUCCGCACUGUCCUCUUUUACUUGCAGCGCACAUUCAUAGCCCAGGAAUCUCCCUUUUGUUUCUGCCAGCCAGUAUGUACCAAAGCUACUUAAAAAUGGAGCCAUUCAGCUGUAGCUACAGAUACCCGCUCUGCAACUGCUGAGCUAGCUGCUCGUGUCUCGCAUGAAUGAGCUGUUUUUAUCUACAGAGAGAGCAGGUCCUCUUCCUUGGAGGCCGUCAUGUUUAACUGCCAUGUUUCUACAGUAGCCCAGAAUGGACAAACCAAUCACUGGCUCUAGCUUCCUUCCUCUGAGCUAUACCCUCAUCAGUUUUUGCCAGCACACAUUUCAGUUUUGGUAAAUCUACAUUCACCAUUGGUCCUGAUUGCAUCAAAUAUAUCCUAACCAACAGAUUCACCUCAAUAAAAAUCUGAGUGAAAAUCUUUAAAGAC